rnacentral:rRNA from 1 species
AGCGAACGCUGGCGGCAGGCCUAACACAUGCAAGUCGAACGAACUCUUCGGAGUUAGUGGCGGACGGGUGAGUAACACGUGGGAACGUGCCUUUAGGUUCGGAAUAACUCAGGGAAACUUGUGCUAAUACCGAAUGUGCCCUUCGGGGGAAAGAUUUAUCGCCUUUAGAGCGGCCCGCGUCUGAUUAGCUAGUUGGUGAGGUAAAGGCUCACCAAGGCGACGAUCAGUAGCUGGUCUGAGAGGAUGAUCAGCCACAUUGGGGCUGAGACACGGCCCAAACUCCUACGGGAGGCAGCAGUGGGGAAUCUUGCGCAAUGGGCGAAAGCCUGACGCAGCCAUGCCGCGUGAAUGAUGAAGGUCUUAGGAUUGUAAAAUUCUUUCACCGGGGACGAUAAUGACGGUACCCGGAGAAGAAGCCCCGGCUAACUUCGUGCCAGCAGCCGCGGUAA